UGCAGUGGAGCGACGAACCAGGGCUUGCCCUGGGGCAGAGCCGCGAACGGGUGAGUAACACGUGGGUAACGUGCCCCAAUGACUGGGACAACCCGGGGAAACCCGGGCUAAUACCGGAUAUGCCCCCUCACAUCAGUGAGGUGUGUAAAGGAAGCUUCGGCCUCCGCAUUGGGAUCGGCCCGCGGCCCAUUAGCUUGUUGGUGAGGUAAUGGCUCACCAAGGCUUCUAUGGGUAGCUGGUCUGAGAGGACGAUCAGCCACACUGGGACUGAGACACGGCCCAGACUCCUACGGGAGGCAGCAGUGGGGAAUCUUGCGCAAUGCGCGAAAGCGUGACGCAGCAACGCCGCGUGGGGGAAGACGGCCUUCGGGUUGUAAACCCCUUUCAGUUGGGACGAAGGUCGGACGGUUAACAGCCGUUCCGGCUGACGGUACCUUCACAAGAAGCCCCGGCUAACUACGUGCCAGCAGCCGCGGUAAUACGUAGGGGGCAAGCGUUGUCCGGAAUCAUUGGGCGUAAAGAGCGUGUAGGCGGCCCGAUAAGUCCGCUGUGAAAGUCGAGGGCUCAACCCUCGAAUGCCGGCGGAUACUGUCGGGCUAGAGUCCGGAAGAGGCGAGUGGAAUUCCUGGUGUAGCGGUGAAAUGCGCAGAUAUCAGAGGAACACCUACGGCGAAGGCAGCUCGCUGGGACGGUACUGACGCUGAGACGCGAAAGCGUGGGGAGCAAACAGGAUUAGACAC
rnacentral:rRNA from 1 species